rnacentral:rRNA from 1 species
UGAUGUGUACGUGAAUCAUCGAAUCUUUGAACGCAACUUGCACUCACCCACAAGUGAGUAUGCCUGUUUGAGUACCUACAACCAUACCUUCAACCGAGUUUGGGUUGAAAUGUGGGCGAUUCAGGUGCACCACCCCUCCCUAACUAACAAGGGGGAGGGAUGCGCGCCUGAUUGCCUCAAAGACAUGACCGGCCCAGCUGCACAUUUGGUGGUGAAGCGUGGCCAAGGUGAAUGAAGGGUGCGCCCACGUCCCUUGGGUCAGCGCGAGUAGUCCGUCAGCCUGGGGCCGGGAGGAAGCCUCUCCGGGGGCCUAGAUUGCCCAAGGCAAUUUGAACCUCAGGUCUCAAAUCAGGUAGGAAGACCCGCUGAACUUAAGCAUAUCAAUAAGCGGAGG